rnacentral:rRNA from 1 species
UACAGAGGGGGCAAGCGUUGUUCGGAAUUACUGGGCGUAAAGGGCGCGUAGGCGGCCCGCUAAGUCGAACGUGAAAUCCCCGAGCUCAACUCGGGAACUGCGUCCGAUACUGGCGGGCUUGAAUCCGGGAGAGGGAUGCGGAAUUCCAGGUGUAGCGGUGAAAUGCGUAGAUAUCAAGCGGAACACCAGUGGCGAAGGCGAGUCUCUGGACAAUUCCUGACACUGAGGCACGAAAGCCAGGGGAGCAAACGGG